UACGGGGGGGGUAAGCGUUGUUCGGAAUUACUGGGCGUAAAGGGCUCGUAGGCGGCCAACUAAGUCAGACGUGAAAUCCCUCAGCUUAACUGGGGAACUGCGUCUGAUACUGGAUGGCUUGGAUUUGGGAGAGGGAUGCGGAAUUCCAGGUGUAGCGGUGAAAUGCGUAGAGAUUAGGAAGAACACCAGUGGCGAAGGCGACUUACUGGACUGUAACUGACGCUGAGGCAUGAAAGCGUGGGGAGCAAACAGG
rnacentral:rRNA from 1 species